CAAUGGAGGAACUCUGAUGCAGCGAUGCCGCGUGAGGGAAGAAGGUUUUACNAUUGUAAACCUCUGUCUUCAGGGACGAAAAAAAAGACGGUACCUGAGGAGGAAGCUCCGGCUAACUACGUGCCAGCAGCCGCGGUAAUACGUAGGGAGCGAGCGUUGUCCGGAAUUACUGGGUGUAAAGGGAGCGCAGGCGGGAAGACAAGUUGGAAGUGAAAUCUAUGGGCUCAACCCAUAAACUGCUUUCAAAACUGUUUUUCUUGAGUAGUGCAGAGGUAGGCGGAAUUCCCGGUGUAGCGGUGGAAUGCGUAGAUAUCGGGAGGAACACCAGUGGCGAAGGCGGCCUACUGGGCACCAACUGACGCUGAGGCUCGAAAGUGUGGGUAGCAAACAGGAUUAGAUACCCUGGUAGUCCAAGGGCGAAUUC
rnacentral:rRNA from 1 species